UCCUCGAUAGCUCAGUAGGUAGAGCAAUCGGCUGUUAACCGAUUGGUCACAGGUUCGAGUCCUGUUCGGGGAGCCA
rnacentral:tRNA from 1 species